rnacentral:rRNA from 1 species
GAUGAACGCUGGCGGCGUGCCUAAUACAUGCAAGUCGAGCGCAAAGAUCAGGAGCUUGCUCCUGUGAUUUGAGCGGCGGACGGGUGAGUAACACGUAGGCAACCUACCCUUGAGAUUGGGAUAACUACCGGAAACGGUAGCUAAUACCGGAUACGAUUUUCUACAUAAGUAGAACUAUUAAAAGGACGGAUUUAUCUGCCACUCAUGGAUGGGCCUGCGGUGCAUUAGCUAGUUGGUGAGAUAGUAGCUCACCAAGGCCACGAUGCAUAGCCGACCUGAGAGGGUGAUCGGCCACACUGGGACUGAGACACGGCCCAG